CAAAUACUCCCUCCGUCCGGAAAUAGUUGUCAUAAAAAUGGAUAAAAGGAAAUGUAUCUAGACGUAUUUUAGUUUUAGAUACAUCUCUUUUUAUCCAUUUUGAUGACAAGUAUUUUCGGACGGAGGGAGUAGAAA
rfam:Triticum aestivum genome assembly, contig: Triticum_aestivum_CS42_TGACv1_scaffold_594122_7BS